AUGCUCAUGCGCGAAACUUGAGCCAAGACUGGUUUGAAGAUCAGAAGCGCGGGAAAUCCGAAAGGACAAAAAUCGUUCGUCGGUUUUUCGUGGUCGUAGGAUUUAGUGCACCAGCGAUAUCGGUAUCCGGUAUGGAGUACAAAAAGCCUUGCCGCUUUUAUAGGAGCGAUAACGAGGCAGUGUUGAUUUCAGGGGUUUACCAAGCUUGACGUGCCCAGACAGCUUGUCUCAAAGUCUGGGGCCAGGCAGAUUGCAAGGACCUGUGCUUGAGUUAGCCUGGAGACAUCUCUGGAUUUCAGGAAAUUGAGUAAACACAAACGUCACCCAACGACCUGAAACACCUCCUGAAGCCACAAGAUAAUUGACCUGCCACUCUGACUGAAUUGUGUCCACUAUAGUUUUUUUCCUUUGACUCUGAAUACUAUGACGAGUGUUGACGAGUCCUCAGUAUUGAUGAUGUUGACCCAGG